CUCCACGAAGUCUAGCAGAAGGAGAUACCUGGCUUUCACCCAGGAGGCUCGGGUUCGAUUCCCGGUAUGGGAA
rnacentral:tRNA from 1 species